AUAAGUAAAGUAAGCCUGUUAUGUUUGUUGAUAUGAUCUAUGUGCCUGAUCUCUCUUUUGUCAUGUUGCUUCAUGACAUUUUUAGUUGAAUAUAGAAAGUUGUUCACCAUGUGGACACCAUUCUUGCCCCUUUCCUUUUUUAAGAUGCAUACCAAAGUAUUUGAUAGUAAAAUGAUAUCAUGUCUGAGAUUUUCUUUAAAAUACUUCAACCAUAGGGAGUUCCCUUGGUGGCUCAGUGGUUAACGAAACCAACUAGGAUCUAUAAGGAUGAGGGUUCAAUUCUUGGCCUUGCUCAGUGGGUUAAGGAUCUAGUGUUGUUGUGAGCUGUGGUGUAGGUAACAGACAUGGCUCAGAUCCCACAUUGCUGUGGCUAUGGCACAGUCCAGCAGCUGUAGCUCCAAUUCAACCCCUAGCCUGGGAACUUUCACGUGCCGCGGGUACAGCCCUAAAAAGCAAAAAUAAAUAUAUAAAUAAAAAUAAAAUAAAAUACUUCGCCCAUAACAGUGAUGAUGGUAUGGGGAAAGAUAAAAUAAGUACAGUAACAAUGAUGGUUACUGAAGCUGGAUAUUGGGGUUCACUGAAGUUCCUACUUUUAUAUGUUUGGAAAUUUUUGUUUUCAAAAGUGUUUUGCUUUUUAAAAGUUAUAAAUUUUUUUGUCUUAAGUUAUACAAAGUUUCUGUGUUUUUUAUUUACUUUCAUAAUAGGCUAAGUUAUAUCUUCAUGAACAGAGACCUGAAAUAAUUAAAACUUAAGAGCUUCAUAAAAAGAACUGUUAGUGUCUAAAUCAAAUAAAGACCUUCUCUAUUGCCUCAAGCUCUGCAGUAAAUUAUACAUACUGUAAAUGAGCACAGUUUCUUUUAAACUUACAAGAAACAAUUUUGUCUUUGUGAGAGUUUUAUAACGACAUCCAACAGCCUAUAAAAAGCCUGCCUUGAUGCGGUUCCCAUGGUGACAGGACAUAAUAUAUGUGUCCAUUAAAUUUGGAAAUGUAAUGAAGUGUAAUAAAAAUCUACUUCAGAAAAAUACACUUCUCAGCAUAUUUUUAUUAAUUAAAAUAUUGCAUUGAGCAUUUUUCAUGUCUGCAUGCCUGACAGCAAAUAAAAGCUUUGCCACAGAUUAACUGUGAUUCUUGAGUUCCAUCCAAUAUUAAUUGAUACAAAAUAGGAAAGGCAUUUUUGCAGAGAAAAUAUUUUGACUGGUGGCCCAGCGUGAUUAAUGGGUAAACAGCUAUGCUUCCUGAACUGUGCAUAUACCAUUUCAAAUGCCACCAGCAAUACAGAAUUUGACAUUUGUGUCCAUAGGGGUAGAAACAGCCUAGUAAGUGGAUCUCUUUAAUCCUUGGGGAAGAUGUUCCUUAUCACUGACUCCCAAUCCCAGCCUUGCAGAUAGUGUGAGUAUUUUGCCUGUGAGAGGGAAAGGGAGUAAUAAACAAAUCACUCUUACAGUCUACUCUGGAUAGUUAAAAUCCAAAGCAGAAGAAGAGGAGAGGGAAGGGUCUUAAUCUUAGGAUAAUUACCCAGGCACCUUCAGAUGAGGAAUAGAAAAUCUCAGCUCCUUCUGUCUGAGCUCCUCUCUGCAUCUGUCUUCGCCAAUUAACAAUAUCUCAGUGGCUUAGACGUAUC
rnacentral:lncRNA from 1 species